AAUAUAGUUGAUAAAUUGGCUAGAGACAACACUGUGGUUAAAAAGUGCCAACUUACAUUUAAAAGAGCUAUAAGUAGCUCCAGGUAAAACAGUGUACAGUGGUAUUUAAACGCCCCACUUGUAGGAUAUCCCUCUGAUGGUAGUUGCAGUGUAGAUCAUAUGGAAAAUAAGAAGAGGAGAAGGCCCAUAGUGCUUUCUAUAUGUAUAAGUACAGGUGGUAAUAAGAAAAAG